rnacentral:piRNA from 1 species
UAGGAAGGUAGAAGAGAAAGCUUU